rnacentral:sRNA from 1 species
AUGCAGAUGCAUGUGUGCACACAGACAUAUGCACAGACACACACCUCAACUUUCUAGCUUUUAGCAUUACGUUUGGCUUAUGCUUUUGACCCUUCUUUUCCUUUGUCUUUGUCCUUUAUUUCAAUAACAAGGUAUUAAAAUUCAAGGAGAAAUACCUGAAACACUGUUAUUUCUAGGGUGUAUUAGUAGCUCUUGUCUUAUCAUGGUCUAAGGAUUUUCAACUUAUGUUCAGAAUGAUAUUCACAAAGUUUUCACUUAUAGUUUGGUGUUUAUAAAGUCACAGGAGGUAAUUAAUUGUGACUUAUUUGCAAUUGGUGAUUUUGGUGAUGUGUGGACAAGUAGAAAUAUUAUAAAUAUAUUUAAGGUACAUUAUGAUAAAUAUGAUGCUUGGUAGGUUACAUAUAUUAAGUACAUUUUUGACUUAUGCUUGAUACAUAAUGGAUUUAGUGCAUGCAUGUGCAUAUAUGGUUUCUGCCUCUUUAUCUCUUGAUUGGUUUUGUCGAUCAUCUGUAGCUAGCAUCUCAACGGCAUGUGUCUUUUUAAAGACCUCUCCACACUAUCCAUUCUGUUCUGAAGACAUUAGCUUCUCUCAAGAUGACAAGAGCAUAUAUUCAUAAGCAUAUACUUCUAGUCAAGUGUUUACUAUUUCUUAAGUAUCUUUGCUUUCCAUACAGGAGUUUUGUUUUAGUUGUAAGAACGUCUGGUGGUAUCUGUCUUUCUAAUUGCUUAAAGGAAAACGUGUUUGCAUCUCGUCACAGUUAAGGCUGCAAUCUAUCAUAGCAGUGAAGUCAUGGAAACAGGAGCUUGAAGCAGCUGGUAAGAUCGUGAAACUAUUUCCAGGAGAGAUCAAUGAAUUCAUGCAAGCAUGAAUUCAUUGUCUUUUGCUAUAGUGGGUUAUAAUCUGAAAUUCUGAAACAAAUACUCUUUUCCAUUAAGUUCCUUUUGUGGGCAUAUUUGGUUGUAGCAACAGAAAGGAAACUAAGACAGAAAUUGUCACCCAGAAUUAGGGCUGUUGCUGUCAUAAAUCUGAUCACGUGACUUUUUGAAUGGUUUCUCAGGAGCAACAUAGAAGAAUUUAGAAUUUUGUGAUAGAAAUGCCAUUGAAUUCUGAAAGUAGACCUUAAUUGGUCUCUUUAAUAGAAGCUUGGAAGACAGCAAUACUGAGAGAAAAAUGGACACUGGAGGCUCAUAUCAUGAGGUUUCAAAGAGGAACAUGGACUCUGUCAGGUUUUUGAAAUUUGAGAAUUUUCGUCAUGAAUCUGGUUUCAUGUUUUUGCCUCCAUUCAGAGAAUAUGUGUAAAAUUAAAUAAGAUAAGAUAAUGUACUAAUGUAUUUGACACAGGAAAACCAUGGACAAGCUUAAAGUUUCAGAAAGGGAAGGUGAAAACAAUAAACCACAUGCAGUUGUCAAAGAUUUAUCUCCUAUGGUGUCCGUGAUCACUCGAGUUCCCAUGAAUCCAUAUCAGUUGAUUCUGUGGGGGAUAUUUUCUUGGUGUGUCCUCAACCCCUAUGGUUCCUCCAAUCCUCCUUCCCAGUCCUAGCAGAAAUCCCCAAGCUCUAGCUAAUGUUUGACUCUGGUACUCUGCAUCUGCUCCCAUUAAUUGCUGCUGGAUUAAGUCUCUCAGGUCUCUGAUGAUGAUUGUGCUGGGAUCUACAUGCAUGUUAUUACUGAGCAGCAUGGUGUUCCUGUGGAAACCUUAACAGUGAAAGCAUAACCUGUACCUGACUCUUGCCUACUUGCAGGUCCCUUCUCCUUCUACUGUGUUGCCUUGUCCAACUUUGAUGUCCAACCAGUGUGACUGUCUGCAUUAACUUCAAUCCCCAACAUGAAGAAACAUCUCUGAUGAAGUCUGACUUACUUCAUUAAUCUGUGAGUGUAGGGCUGCAAAUCGAGAGGAAAUUGAAGCUUUGAAAGGUUGACUCUGUUCUUGAAGUUUAUCUGGAACUCAUCUGUGAGCUUCAUGGUGUACACAGAUAAGAAACUGACAAUACAUUUCAACAGGCUUAAUUUUAAAUUGAGGACUUUAAAAGAAAGAGUAUAAUUAAACUAUUUAAUUCCACUUAUUUCAGAGAAAAUUCAAGUUAUAUUCUUCUCCUGAAAGGGUUUCAUUUAGCACAGGAGAGAAGUAUAUAUAUAUAUUAUAUGUCUUCUGAUGCCAAGCUGGUUCAGUGCUUCAUGUGUGCAAACCAUCAUCUGAGUUACAGACUCUGUGGACGUCUUUGUUAUUAGAAUAGAGCACUUAGACAUUGAAGUCUAUUUUAGCCAUCGAGGUGUCUCCCAAGCUUCUUCCCCUUCAUCUUGUUGUCACUUUAAUCCCAUGAAUGGGUAUGGAACACAAAGCAGAUCUAUCUACUGUCCCAUUUAAAAUAUCUGUAUGGUUAGGUUCUCAUAUAAACUCACUCCAAGUUGCUUAAUCUUCAAAUGUCUGAACAUAUACGUUCAAAUGCACAUGCAUUUACCUAAAUAAGUAUGUGUAGAUUUAUUUUUUAAAAAAAAUAAAGCCUUGUCUAAUAAGGAAAUAUAGAACUGUAACUCCUAAUACACACUCACUGUAUUAUUUUAAUGCCAUGCAAAUGAAAGAAUCCUGAAAACUAAUUUUAAAGAGCUAUUUACUUAUUGUUUUUAUGUAGCUGUG